rnacentral:rRNA from 1 species
GACGAACGCUGGCGGCGUGCUUAACACAUGCAAGUCGAACGGAAGGGCCCUGCUUUUGUGGGGUGCUCGAGUGGCGAACGGGUGAGUAACACGUGAGUAACCUGCCCUUGACUUUGGGAUAACUUCAGGAAACUGGGGCUAAUACCGGAUAGGAGCUCCUGCUGCAUGGUGGGGGUUGGAAAGUUUCGGCGGUUGGGGAUGGACUCGCGGCUUAUCAGCUUGUUGGUGGGGUAGUGGCUUACCAAGGCUUUGACGGGUAGCCGGCCUGAGAGGGUGACCGGCCACAUUGGGACUGAGAUACGGACCAGACUCCUACGGGAGGCAGCAGUGGGGAAUAUUGCACAAUGGGCGGAAGCCUGAUGCAGCAACGCCGCGUGCGGGAUGACGGCCUUCGGGUUGUAAACCGCUUUCGCCUGUGACGAAGCGUGAGUGACGGUAAUGGGUAAAGAAGCACCGGCUAACUACGUG